rnacentral:lncRNA from 1 species
CAGUUAAUGUCAUCAAUAGUAGAUCACAGUGUAGCAAGAAACAUCAGAAGUAUAAAGUUUGUUGCGCAGUGUGUUUUUAAUACAAAUAGAUGUAUGAAAUAGUUUGAUAAAACAUUUGGUCAGAUAAAUCACUUAUAAUGAUAACAAGUAUUAUAGACAGCCUGAAAAUCACAACUUCUCAUAAUGAACCAGUAUAUUUUUGAGCUAUGUCUAAGUACCCAUCUGCACAGAUACUACUUAAAUGGAACCUAAGGUGAUUUCUGAGAGCAUGUAUUCACCCUCUCAUCUAUUUAUCUGUCUUCUUUUCAGCUUCCUCUUUUUCUAUGCAUUUUAUUAAUGUUGCCCUCCUAUUCCUUGUUCCUUCCUAACAUGGGUUGAGCAGAACACACAUGGAUCACUCCAGUGUCCCCGUGUGUGCUCCAGGGCAGAAGUUGUGAACACCCAAUUUCAGUGUCCACUGUCUGAUCACUUUUCAUUGAUCUCCUUGGCACUUACCUGAGAAUUAAUAAUAAGCUGUCUCAGUUAUUAAAGCUGAAAUUUAAUAAAUCAAAAAGUUUUGUAAAUGGAUUAUUCCAGAUUAAUUCAGUAUUCUCAUUAACUGCAAAUCAGAGAAUUCUUGACAUUCUCUUUAUUUUUUUUCUCAUAAUGAAGAUUAGUUUACUUUGUUGCCUUAGGAAGUAGGUUAUAUUAAGUAAGAUGGGCUUUUUAAAAAGAAUUUUACAUAUUUAGGGGAUAUAUAAAAGUGUUAUAUAAGAAAGAGAAGUGUAGGUUGGAACGUUGUUUUCUGAAUAGGUAGAGAUGUUAAAAUGUGCUGUGGAAGUUUGUAGAAGGAUCUUUUAAAGUAAAACUUUGACGUAAGCUUUUUUGUGUGUGCGCUACCUCACUUCUUUUCAGCUUUUUGAGAGAAAGAAAAGUUAAUUAAGAGUUCCAGUUAGAUGGGUUAAAGUUAAUCAGGAUUGAUUGUACUGGAAUUAAAUUCUUGAAAUGACACACAUAAAUUUGGUUAACUUGUUUCUUUUAAGGUCACAUAUUGCAUUAAACUCAGUGGUUAAAUAACCCAUCCAUGAAAAAAUGACCGUUUUCUUCUGCCAACAUCAUUUUAACUGUAAGUUCAGUUUCCUCAGCAUUUUGCUACUUGCUGAUGGGAAGCCAAUUUACCCAGUACCUUGGUUUGCUGUCCCAGGUAAUGUGUUGGUAGUCUCUCUUGCCCCAAUUUAAUCCAAGUAAACGCAGCCCCCAAACUAUAGCUUAUAAUUAGUAGUUAAGUAUAUGAAAUUUUCCAUUUGUUAUCUUUCCAUAUUUAAAAAAUUUACUAUAAAAAUUUGGGAUAGCAGUCCACUUCUUAAGAGCCUAAUUUAUCAGACUUUUUAUUAUUUUGUUAUUUAAAGUAAACACAAAUCCUUUUAUCAACAAUUAUAGCUUUCACUUUAUGCCAUAUAAGUUAUUUCAGCUUUAGAGACAAAAAUUCCAAUCUUAGUAUUAUUUUAUAGAAAUGCAACUUAUACUUUCCAAUUUUUCUUUUCCUUCGUCUCUUUUUGCUAAAUGUAGACACAGCUCAAUUUAUUUAAACAAACAGUGGUUUAAGAAAACUCAGAAUUAAGUCUUGAGUUUCUCUUUACUUGGUUCUGCUAUGUAUUUCUUUGGUGUAAAAUGAGCUUAACUGAAGUAAAAUAGUUUUCCCUUUUCUGCAAAUGAAAUGAAUCCCUCAUCAAACAAUGUCAUAAGGAUACAGAGUAACUUGUUAUUUAGUGUAUGUGACAAAGUAACACAAGCCCACCAUGGUUGAGGCCAAUGAGACAGAAGGAUGGCUCCCUGAACAAGAUCUAUAACUUCAUCUGCUGCUGGUCCAGGUAGAUUACUUAAUAGCACCACCCAAAAAGGAAAACUCCCAAGGAGGGGUUGGUAUAUGGGCAGAAUAACCAACCUACUGGCAUGCUGUCUAUAAAUACAAAUUCACAGACCUCCCCUCUAGAGUUUCUGGUUAGGAAGCUUAGAGUAGGGUGCAGUUAACCCCACCUUGAUAAAUUCAUUACUCCCCAAUACAGUGAACACAUGUAAUUCUGAAGCAGAUGGUACAGGGACCAGACCUUGAAAAGGAAAAAAAAAAACACUACAAAUUACGUUUCUGUGUUGAAAUUUUUUUCUACUGUUCUAAUCAAAAUGGUCAACUAGUAGUAAUUUCAUAUUACUCAAACUAGUACUUUUCCUGCCAUAUUUGUUAUAUUGAAGCAGAAAAUUGGGUUGCUUGUGGAUUGUGCUAUUCAUUGAUAGUUGGAAUAAAAUUUUGAAGUUUGGACCAAUGUGUAUCCUCUGUGUCAUAUGCUACUUUGUGACCCUUUGGCGUUUAGGCAGCUAAACCAGGCAGCAUCUGUUGACUUCUGGAAGAAAUGUACUUAAAGAAUCAUACAACAGUCUGUUGAGAAUCAAAAGCCUGUAUUUUUUUUACAGGCAAAAUCUAGCCAACAAGUCAAUUCAAAGCACAAAGAUGUUAAUGACUCAAGUAAAAUUUUAGUGUUUCUGUCCCCUUCUCACUUCUCUUCCUCCACCUCAAGAUGAAAAGUAACCCCAAAAGUUGGAGGGAAGAGAAGAGUGAGAACGAGAUCUAGGAGUGGGUGGCCACAGUGGGGUCUAAGGUAGAGAUAGCCAUGCUCUUUUGAGAAAAAGUCUUUGGAAGUUCCUGGGCCAGGGAUUGAAUACAUGCUGCAGCUAUGACCCAAGACCCAAGCUGCAGCUGCAGCAAUGGUGGAUCCUUAACCAGCUGUAUCAGCCAAGGAUCAAACCUGUGCCUCUGAAGUCAGGUUUGACCCGAGCCACGGAAGUCAGAUUCUUAACCCUCUGUGCCAUGGUGGGAACUCUGUUUUGAGCAAAGUCUUGAGGAACAGAAGGAUUCUAGACAUUUUGUAGAAAAAAAGCUGUAAAGGGAACCUUUGCCUCAUUUUUCCUAGUAGAAAGAAGAGAAAAGUCCUAAGUAGAACUGGGUUCAAAUAAAUCCAGGAAGCCUCAUACAAUCUCUUUAUACUAGAUGUAGAUGAUGUCCUUUUCCUGAGCCAUCAGGAAGGGGUAAAGAGCUGUAUGAAGCCUCAUUCAGUUUCUGUGGUCUCAGUAUAGACAAGAAUAGCGGAGUGAUUUACGUGCACCCAGGGUGUGUGUGGGGGGGGCAAGCAUUAACUGAGUCAUUACAUGACCCAUGGAGCAUCUGGAUGAGAUUAAAGUGUGUCAUGACAGCAUUCUGCACAGGCAGACACACAAAGACCAGACUAAACAAGGCUGCUGUGAGAGAUGUCAGGGCAGAGAGAAGGCAGCUACCUGGAACAGAUGUGGUCCUUAACUGUGUGGCACUCUGUAAGCCCCUUAACAUGUUAGAGAUGUAAGUCCCGAGAAACGAGAGUGGGUCAUUUGGGGGGUGGGUGGAAUCGAUGGUGUAAUUUGAGCUCAUGUUCAUUAUAUCAGUUGGGGAAAAUGUUUAAAAAUCUAUUUUUGAACAUCUGAAUUUUGUGGAUAAAAUAAUAACUGUUUAUGAGGAUCCAAACUAUAUACAAUUGUAGUCUAUUUUAAACCAAACAGAUGAUUCAAGCCUUUAACUGUCCCUUUUAGCCCUGGACUGCCAGUGCUUUUUGCACAUAGCUGUUCUAAGCCUUUCCAUGAGAAAUGUCUUAGGACUUGCUGCUGCUUCACUCUUAGAAUCCAUCUUCCAGCCUAGGAGUUUACGUAUUACCUCUUAGCCUUAUUAGGAGCUAGUGAAAUAGGUUCUCUUAUCGGCUUUUGAGGAGCACACUGCUUCCCUCACUGCUUUAGUGACUGCCAUCAAGUGCUGUUGCUCAGGAUUCCAGUUUUUUUUUUUUUUACCCCUUAUUUCCUACUCUAUUUUAGUGUGUGUAUGUAUUUUUAUAUGUAAUUUACUCAUUUUUAAUUUUCACAUUUUUCACCCUGCUUUACUUGAUCUUAGCACUUUAUCACUUUUAUUAAAGUUAUAUAAACACAAUUAUGAGAGGUUCUGCUUUUUAGAAACUGAGGUACAAAAAUUCAGUUUACAUGUGUUAUGAAGAAAUUCUUUAUAAACUCAUGAUUUUUUCACAGCCAGCCUUUGUCGUACACCGUGAAACAAUUCUUGCCACUCACUGAAAAUACUGCUCUGCACAGCAGAUCAUUAACUCUGUGCUAAGAAAAAAAACAUUCUUCAUAUUUCUAAAAGAACUUUCUUUUCUCCUGAGGAAAUACACCAAAGGGUUUCACUCGUAUUAUUGUUCUUGCUGUUACUGUUGUUUUAGUGUUUUUUAGAGGAGUGUAGAGAGCAAGUGUUGGCUCUACGGAACACUUACAGGAAUCGG